UGCUUGAAAAGAAAGCAAACAAUCACCGAUUUUGGAUUAUAAAUUAGCAUGAGGUGAGUAAGUCGUGUAAGUAUGCUACCCUAUAAUGGCUUCUAAGAGGUGCUCGCUUAUUUGGGUGGUUCUCUUUCUUUGUGUGUUAUGUUUUUCUGCUGAGGCAACAGCAAGGAACAUUAAUGCUGCAGGUGCUUCUGAACUUUACCCAGCUUCAAAUGAUGAAAUUGGUGUGAGCAGUAGGAGAUUACUUUGGCAACCACCGCGACCUCCACCACCGCGACCUCCAUGUUCGAGGGGAAGAAUAGCUUAUGCUGUGAGUCCUGUAAAAAGCCAUGCAGAAAAUGAUCCACGUUGCCACAACUAUCUAUGAUAGAUCUGUGUGCUGUGUUUUGCACUUGUAAGGAUGAAGUAUAUAUGUACACAGAAAACAUAUCAAAAGAAAGUUUAUUAAGUGAUCUCACACUGUUUGUACUUGAAUAUUCUUCAUAUUAUGGUUUGUAUAUCUAAUGGGCAAAGACUUCAAUUACUAGUUGUUUCUUGGUUCA